rnacentral:tRNA from 1 species
GGCCCUCUGUCGGAACUGGUAGACGAACGCGACUCAAAAUCGCGCGCCUUUGCGGGCGUCCCGGUUCGAAUCCGGGGAGGGCCACCA